CCCUUAGAUGUCCUGGGCUGCACGCGCGCUACACUGAUGUGUCCAGUAAGCACCUAACCUCUUCCGAAAGGAACGGGUAACCUUUGCAAAGCACAUCGUGAUGGGGAUAGAUUAUUGCAAUUAUUAGUCUUGAACGAGGAAUUCCUAGUAAGCACAAGUCAUAAGCUUGUGUUGAUUACGUCCCUGCCCUUUGUACACACCGCCCGUCGCUCCUACCGAUUGAAUGUUCCGGUGAGCUCUUCGGACUGCGCGGUCUGCAGUUUCUGCGUUCCGUGCGGAAAGUUGCGCAAACCUUAACAUUUAGAGGAAGGAGAAGUCGUAACA
rnacentral:rRNA from 1 species